rnacentral:lncRNA from 1 species
CUCCGCCUCUACGCGCUCGCGGUCGCCGCUCCUCUCCCGCCUUUGUUCUCGGGUCGCCCCUCUCGCUGGUGGCGCUCCGAGAGAGCAGCGGAGCCACCUGCCCAGGCCACGCUUCCCCGAGCAUCCGCAGCUGCACCCGGGGGCUGUCGGCGCCCGCCCCGGAGCGUGCGGGAGGCACAGCGGGAAGAAGUCGCUGAGAUUCGGCCCUCGUGGCUUUGCGUGCCCGCGUGGUUGAUGCCUCCGCCGAGAACGCGGUCGGCCGGGAGCCGGGGAGGAGCGUGGACGCCGGCCUGGCAGGUACCCCCGCGAGAACGUGGGAGCCGGUGUAUUUCAGCUGCAUUUAUUACUGAUCUCGGGCUGCACCAGGGCACUUGUAGGACCGCACUAAAAACAGCGGAAAGUGAGGAGCCAAGCCUGGGUCCGGGGCGGCCCGCCGUACAGCUGGCCUCACGGAUUCCACUGCCUGCGCCUGCAGAUGACUUGUUCUGGAGAGUAGAGAAUGUUCUCGGAUUUAAAGUACAAUCCGGUUUCCUUUCCAUUCAUUAUAGUUGCCUACACUCAACAAACAAAAGUUGGGAAAGAUAAAGGGAUUAUUCUAGCGCGUCACAUUGACAAACACCGACGUUAACACGCUCAGUCCAGCCUGACUCACUUGCCUCAGGUCAGAGAGGUCACCACUGACGACGCCGGGCCCUCAAGCCGAUCCUAAUCCAGCUUGGUUCUCUCAGCCUCAGCCAGACCAUCCGUUCUUGCCUCUGUCCCACCACGUGCAGGUGUAAGCUUCCGCCGCACUUCUUGUCUGAAUCUGCCAAGAAGAAACUGCAUCUUUCAGCUAAAUUCUUUUCACUGAUCAGGGUAGAGUUUAGCGGUUUUUUUUUUAAGAAAAAAAACAAAAACAAAAAAAAACUCUUAAGCUAUUUGGUACUCCUCUCCCUCCGGGAUUCUGUCUCUAGAUUGUGAAAGCUGUCAGAGAAUGGAGUCAGGGAAAGCCGUGAUGGGAAAGUUCUCACUAAUAAUUGCCUGAUAUAAAGAAUUAGCACAAAAGACUGCCAAAACCACAACCUUGCACAAAGGCCACAAAACUACACAAAAAAAUGCUUCAAGGACAUUUGCGCAGCAACUGCCUGUCCAACCUUGGACUGGCCAUCCCCUUUGUUACUGAUCUUUGUAGCCAAGGAUAAUUGUUUCAAAACAACUUACGUAAUCCUCCUCGUUUUUCCUUUUAAACCCCUUAUCUUCCUUUACCUCCCUGAAUACACCUAUAGUUUACUAUGACACCAUAUUCUACAUUGCAAUGCCCACUUUCAAAUAAAUUUGUCAUGUUUGGCAAACCUGUCUGUUAUUUAGGUUGACAAGAUCAAAUGCAAAUUUAUUCUGGAGUCAACAAAUAACUGAUUCAGUCUUCCAAUGUGCAAGGCAAAGAAGAAUAUUAAGGAGACACUGUAUAGAUUAGAUCCCUGCCUAUAGGCAGCUUCAACACUAAUACAAUAUGGUACGAAUAUAUAAUUGUACUUUAAGGCAGCUUAGGUGGGAAAACAACUAGCAACUAAAAAAAAAAAUGGAGUUUACUACCAACUAAAAAAAAUGGAGGUUUCAAGGUUGACCUAGAAUUUGAAAACUGCUUUAAAGACAGGUAAGAAAGACACAGGUAGAUGUGCAAUGGAAGUAGAAAUUGGGUUUCAAGCCCCAAACAGGCUGAGGGGUGGGAAAAUAGACAUAUUCAGGUACAUCAAUCGUUCCAGUUUGGCAUAAGAAUGAGAUAAAUGAAGAUGGAUUCUAGGAGUUAAGGAUGAAAUAUGUAGGGAGGUACUAUGAUGUAAUGGAGAGAACAAAGAUUUCAAGUUAAGACUUUGGUUUAAAUCCCAGCUGUGCCUCUUAUUAGCUGUGUGAUCAAAGGUAAAUUAGUUAAUCUCUCUGACCCUCCAUUUCCUCAUUUGUAUGAUAACAAUAAUGUCCAAUUAUUCCACAAAUAUUUUAUGGCAAGCCAAGUAUUAACUAAGAACUAUGUUAAAUGAUGAAGAUAUAAAAAAACCAUUUAUUCAUUCAUUCAUCAAAUGAAUGCCUUACUGUUUACUAAGUUACACCCUGAGUUAGGCCCUGGAAAUACUGAUAAGGGGGAAAAAAGCAUGAAACCGUAUGAGACCACUUAGAUUAUGCAGAUAUACGUGAAAAUAAGGCCCAAGACCAAGAAGUCCAAAGGUACUCAACUUGUGGAAGUAAGAUAGAGAAGGAAAAAAAAGAAAACUAAGUGUAAAGUACUGUAAACUGAAAGGAGAGAGUGUUUUAAAAGAGGGACUGGUCAGCUCUCCUAAUGGAGAAGUUAGUAAGGUGGCAGAGAAGAAUACAUUGUAUUUAUCAACCUGGAGGUAAUUAACUGUCUUGACUGUUUCAAGCUAUUUCAGCAAAGUGGUGGUUUCAGAAACUAAAUUAAAGCAGAUUAAGGGAGGAAUGGAAGCCUAGGAAUUGGAGCCAGAGUAUAGACAACUCUUCUGUGUAGUUUUAUUAUAAAAAGUAAUGGAGAAAGAGAGUAUCUGGAGAGGUGGUAGGGAUGUUUUUAAGAUGGAAGACAUUAGCACAUGUUGGUAUACUGAAAAGAAUGACUGAGUAGGAAGGCAGAAAACCAUGAUUGAGCAGAGAGAGGAAAUGCUACUGGAAGGCAGCUUGUGAGAAGGCAAGGAAAAAUGGGCUCCAGAGCACAGGUAUUAGACAGGAAGCAGAAUCCACCCAAUUUAACAGGAAAGACAGAAGGUGGUCGCAGCUGCAAGCAGGUGAGUGGAAAACUUGAAGGUUUGUUUUUUUGUUUUUUUGUUUUUUUUUGAGACAGAGACUCACUCUGUUGCCCAGGUUGGAGUGCAGUGGCCUGAUCUCGGCUCACUGCAAGCUCCACCUCCUGGGUUCACGCCAUUCUCCUGCCUCAGCCUCCCAAGUAGCUGGGACUACAGGUGCCCGCUACCACACCUGGCUAAUUUUUUGUAUUUUUAGUAGAGACGGAGUUUCACCAUGUUAGCCAGGAUGGUCUCGAUCUCCUGACCUCAUGAUCUGCCUGCCUCGGCCUCCCAAAGUGCUGGGAUUACAGGCGUGAGCCACUGCACCCAGCCAACUUGAAGGAUUUUUAUUUCUGAUAUAUUUUCUUUCCUUCAUGAAAUAUAAAGGGAAAAUCAGCUGACAGUUGUGUAGGGGAGAGAGAUACAGAAGAUCUGAGGAAGAAGGAGGUGUGUCAGCAGGAAAGCAAAGUUUCCAGGAUGCCAAGUGUUUUGCCUUCUUGAGAGUUAUGGUCAUGAAUUUAAAGUGAAACUACUCGGUCUGGCUUUGUCAGGUUCUCAGUCAAGUUUACCUACUUGGAUUCAGGCUUGGACAAAGUGGAUAAUGGGGUUCAUUCAGGAAGGGGUUUUCCAGGUGAGGAAGAGGGACAAAGAAAUUGAAGUCUGUUUGUAAAGGAGUGAUUAUAAUGAUGAGCCAUGAUAUCUAAGCUGGACAAGGUAGGAAAUUUGAGGGCUAUAAAUGGUGAAAAAAGCCAAUGAACUGGAGAUUUCAAUAAGAUUAGAGAAUGGCUGUCUUCGGGGUACUAGAGGUGGUGAGCUGGAAGGACAGGAAAUGAUUGCAUGAGAAUAACUUGCUUGAAAUAAAGAUUUCAGAAGUCAUACUAAUAUUGGCGACAGCAAAGUCUAGAGGGGUAAAAGGCAACUGAAUGUGAGUUGGUUAAGGAAUUAGAAAGCAUACAGCCAGUCCUAGCUUGGCAUGGUAGAACAUGACUAGAAAAAUGACCAUGGAAGUUGAAAUUGUGCAAAGUGAUCUUAAUAAUCAAAGAGAAAAAUUAAAAUUGUUCUGUGACACUUAAGAACUUUUGUUGAAACAUCAAAAACUCUGUUACUGCUACGUAGACAUAUCAGGAAUUUUUUAAAUUGUAAAACUAAUUUAUUUAGUAUGCCAUAAUUUAAAACAUGAGAAACAUGGAGAAUCAGUCUUUAUUCUUUGUGAAAAACAAAAGAAAACAAAACAACUUACCAAUAGUAGUGUGAACUGUUUGCCUCUUCUCAUACUAUUAAUCUUCUGUCUUGAAAAAUUGUUAUUCUGCAUUCUAAGUUUAGAUUAGCUUCCAACAUUUUAUCUUUGCAUUUUCAAUCUUGUGAACUAUUCUCAGGAAUUCUUUAAUACAAAGUGUAUCAGCAACACUUCCUGUGGACCUCUUCACCCUUUUGUCACAGCCACUUUAAUCUCUUAACAUUAAUCAAUUCAUAAAAUGAUGAAACCAGAAUUUACUGGCUGAAUAAGGUUUUUAUUUAGUCUCUUUGUAAUUAUCAUUUUCUUUCAACAAGACAACCAACUUCAACACUUCACCCGAAUGCUAGCCAGACUGAUUGGGAAAAAAUUUAAAUUUAUUACAGUCUUCAGUCAAAAGCAGGAAAAAGUCUUUAUAUCGGCCAUAAUUUGCAUUCUCUUUCUAGUGCAAUUUAAACCAAAAGAUCCUGAAGCAACUUACCUUGUUUUUUCUACUUACUGAACUUUUUCUCUAUGGCUUCUAUGGUGCCUUUUGUGUAGGCCGAGGUCUCAUCCUAUCUUUGCUUUGCUUUUGUCAUUUUCAAAUUCCCUAAUCACAUCUAAUUUCAUUUCUGCAUUAUUAUUUUUUUAUUUGCUGUACUUUCAUCUUUCUUGGCCAAUUCCCUUUUAAUGAUCCAUUUUUGUAAAAUAUCAUGUUAGUUUAUCACUGGGAAUCAAGGAAGCUAUACAACUACAUGCUUUGCUGCUUGUAAACUGAAAAACUGAGUAACAGUUGUGCAGUGACCAAUAACUGACAGACUCUGAAAGAAGGAUUGUGAUAUCUGCUAUGGACUGAAUGUUUGUGCCUUACCUGCAAAUUCAUAAAUUGAAGCCCUAAUCCCCAGUGUGAUGGUAUUUGGAAGUGAGAACUUUGGGAGGUGAUUAGAUUUACAUGAGGUCACGAGAGCAGAGUCCCCAUGAUGGGGAUUAAUAUCCUUUCAAAAAGAAGAAGAGAUACAAGAUUCAUAUUCCUUCUCUUUCUCUCUCCCCUGCCCCCACCCCCACCAAGGAAAGACCAGGUAAGGACAUAACCAGGAAGAGGGCCCUCACCAAGAACCACCAUGUUGGCACCCUGAUCUCAGACUUUCAGCCUCUAGAACCUCAAUAAAAAAUAUUUGUUUAAGCAACCCAGUCUAAGGCAUUUAAUUAUAUUAGCCCAAGCUAAGACAGUGCCCAUCUGUUAUUUACAUAGUGAUCUGUGAACUGAAGAGCUAGCUGUGAAUUUUCUUCUUUAUGCAAUUCCUCACAUAAAGUUAAUAUGCAAUCAUAAUUGAAAUGUGAACCACCUUGUUGGGGAACUGGUAUUAUUUAACUAAACCACAGUAAAUGAAAUUUGCUUGAAUAUUCUGAAAGUGAAAAUUGCACAGUGCAUACUAGAACUGUGCAAAGUGAGGACUGCCUUGUUUUGGAUGGCUCAUCUAUGUGGAUGUUGAAGUCCCAAGGAAAGAUGACAGGAGUUGGGUGGGGAUGAAGAUUAUAUAAUCCAGUAGCUCAAGUCUUCAAGUGAUGGGGAGGAAUAAGCCAGGAACUACAGGCAGCAGAAAUCAACAGGUAAAAGAUUAUAUAUUCAGAUAGCAUACAUUUUCAGGAGCCAGAAUUUUUUUUAAGGUCAAAGGGGUUACCUACGCUAACUCCUGGCUGUAAGUCAUCAAAGAUUGAGAGGAAAAAAACAGCCUUCAUUUGAGAGGGCUGCAGUGGCACUCCUCUUCAGGGAAAAGUCAGAUUGCUUUUAAGGAAAGGAACUCAAAAUGCAUGUGGAAGAGAGGUUGGGAAUAUAGAGGAGCCUGAUGAACCAUAUAAAGAAAGUUCCGGCCGGGCGCGGUGGCUCACGCCUGUAAUCCCAGCACUUUGGGAGGCCGAGGCGGGCGGAUGGAUCACGAAGUCAGGAGAUCGAGACCAUCCUGGCUAACACAGUGAAACCCCAUCUCUACUAAAAAUACAAAAAAUUAGCCGGGCAUGGUGGCAGGCGCCUGUAGUCCCAGCUACUCAGGAGGCUGAGGCAUGAGAAUGGUGUGAACCUGGGAGGUGGAGCUUGCAGUGAGCCGAUGGACUGAAGGAAAUGUUUAUGUGAUAUUUUAUGUGAGUGAUCUUCACAGUGGGCAAGUGGUUCAAAAGUUAUGUAUCUGAAUACUUAGCAUGAUAGUCUAGUGGGGUCAGGUGAUACUACCCUUUUAUAGGAUCGUGGUGAAGUACAGCCUAGGUGGAGGAGCCUAGGGGAAAGAGGCUGAUGAUAGCAGGGCAGAGGUUUUCUUGGUACAGGUCUCAACAUAGCUUAUUGGGGAAGAAAAGGAGGAAAGGAGUUUUAUGUUAGAGGAAAGGCAAUAAUAGAAGAUAUUAUGGAGGACAAAGGGGGAUAUCUCACCCAAUCUGGAGAAGCAGUGAGAGAGACGUUGGAUUGACAGUGAGAAGUGUUGCUAGGAUCUGAGAUCUUUAUAAUGCACCUGGAAUCCACUUAACCUCAGAAAAUAGCAGAGUAUUACAUUAUGGACAAUCUAGAACCUUAAGAGUAGGCAGAAGAAUUGGUAUUCACUCAUAAGGCAAUCAAGAGCCACUGAGGGGUUUUGAGGCAAAGACUGAUACAAAGUUAUGCUUCCAAGAUGAAAACUCCAUCAGUUUUAUGUGUAAGGUAUGGAGAUGAGACGUAAGGCAAAGAAAAUAGGCCCAUUGGGUUUUCUCCCUGCCUCAUUCUUGGAAGCAUUUACUAGAGGUGCAGUUGCUGAAUACCAGCCCCCCAAUACAAAAGAAGUUCAGUGAAGUCAGGGGACUUGUCUGUUUUUUUCACCACAAUACAAUCUGCAUCUCCAACAGUGCCUAGAACAUAGUAGAUGCAUGAUUCUGUUGAACAAAAAAAUAAUAAAUGAAUCAAUGAAAUAAAGGGGCUAUUGAAACAGAUUUGAGAGAAGUGAGUACCUAGGCUACAGAUAUAACAAAUGGAAAAUUGAAGCUAUUUUGAGCCACUUCAAAAAAUUAAAAUCUAUAGAAUUUAACAACUAAGUAUAUAUGGGGUUUUACAGAAGGGAAAGAGAAAGAACAGAACUAAAGGUAAUUUGGAUGUGUCAGACCUAAUAAGAAUAAGUGUGCAUAAGUGCUUGAUUACAUAUUAUUUACUUUAAUUCACAUGCAAACCUUAGGAAAAAGGUAUAAUUCUCAUUUUACAAACAAGUCUAUCUAUGAGGCAGUCAACUCAAUUACCAGGUAGUAUAUUUUGCAAUUAAUUCAUCCUGACAAGUUCAUCAGGAAGGCAAAUUGCAUGAUAUGACAUAUUUCAUAGGUUAUUACUAAUUUUUUCUGUGGUCAAGAUUAGCAUCAAUAGCUCCUUUUAAAGAGGUUUUUGGCUACAACUAUCAUGUAUAUUCUCUGUAUAAUGGUGGAGUGAUUUUUUUUUCACCAAGCAUAUUUUUCUUUUAUUAUGAAAGAACAGUUGUUCUGAUAUAUAGUUGCCAGAAGGAAACUCUCAGGGAAUUUUAGUUUACUAAUAGAAUUGGUAGAAAUUGUAAGAAAAUGAUCAAAAUAUCUUUUUAUUUCUUCUUAAAAAAAUGGGAUACAUGUGCAGAAUGUCCAGAUUUGUUACAUAGGUAUACAUGUGCCGUGGUGGUUUGCUGCAUCUGUUGACCCAUCCUCUAAGUUCCCUCCCCUCCACUCUCACCCCCAACAGGCCCUGGUGUGUGUUGUUCCCCUCUCUUGUGUCCAUGUGUUCUCAAUGUUCAACUCCCACUUAUGAGUGAGAACAUGUGAUGUUUUUUUCUCCUGUGUUAGUUUGCUGAGGAUGAUAGCUUCCAGCUUCAUCCAUGUCCCUGCAAAGGACAUGAUCUCAUUCCUUUUUAUGGCUGCAUAGUAUACCAUGGUGUAUAUGUACCACAUUUUCUUUAUCCAGUCUAUCAUUGAUGGGCAUUUAGGUUAGUUCCAUGUCUUUGCUAUUGUGAAUAGUGCUGAAAUAAACAUACAUGUGCAUGUGUCUUCAUAGUAGAAUGAUUUAUAUUCCUUUGGGUAUAUACCCAGUAAUGGAAUUGCUGGGUCAAAUGGUAUUUCUGGUUCUAGAUCCUUGAGGAAUUGCCAUACUGUCUUCCACAAUGGUUGAACUAAUUUACAUUCUCACCAACAGUGUAAAAGUGUUCCUAUUUCUCUACAGCCUCGCCAGCAUCCAUUGUUUUCGGACUUUUUAAUAAUCACCAUUCUGACUGGUGUGAGAUGGUAUCUCAUUGUGGUUUUGAUUUGCAUUUCUUUGAUGAUCAGUGAUGUUGAGCUUUUUUUCCAUAUGUUUGUUGGCCACAUAAAUGUCUUCUUUUGAGAAAUGUCUGUUCAUAUCCUUUGCCCACUUUUUGAUGGGGUUGUUUUUUUUUUCUUGUAAAUAUGUUUAAGUACCUUGCAAAUUAUGGAUAUUAGACUUUUGUCAGAUGGGUAGAUCGCAAAAAUUUUCUCCCAUUCUGUAGGUUGCCAGUUCACUCUGAUGAUAGUUUCUUUUGCUGUACAGAAGCUCUUUAGUUUAAUUACAUUCCAUUUGUCAAUUUUGGCUUUUGUUGCAAUUGCUUUUGGCAUUUUUGUCAUGAAGUCUUUGCCCAUGCCUGUGUCCUGAAUGGUAUUGCCUAGGUUUUCUUCUAGAGUUUUUAUGGUUUUGGGUUUUACAUUUAAGUCUUUAAUCCAUCUUAAGUUACUUCUUGUAUAAGGUGUAAGGAAGGGGUCCAGUUUCAGUUUUCUGCAUAUGGCUAGCCAGUUUUCCCAGCACCAUUUACUGAAUAGGAGAUCCUUUUCCCAUUGCUUAUUUUUGUCAGGUUUGUCGAAGGUCAGAUGGCUGUAGAUGUGUGGUGUUAUUUCUGAGGUCUCUGUUCUGCUCCAUUGGUCUAUAUGUCUGUUUUGGUACCAGUACCAUGCUGUUUUGGUUACUGUAGCCUUGUAGUAUAGUUUGAAGUCAUGUAGCAUGAUGCCUCCAGCUUUGUUCUUUUUGCUUAGGAUUGUCUUGGCUAUAUAGGGUCUUCUUUGAUUCUAUAUGAAAUUUAAAAUAGUUUUUUCUAAUUCUGUGAAAAAUAUCAAUGGUAGUUUCAUGGGAAUAACAUUGAAUCUAUAAAUUACUUUGGGCAGUGUGGCCAUUUUCACAAUGGUGAUUCUUCCUAUCCCUGAGGAUGGAAUGUUUUCCCCUUUGUUUAUGUCCUCUCUUAUUUCCUUGAGCAGUGGUUUGUAGUUCUUGAAGAGGUGCUUCACAUCCCUUGUUAUCUCUAUUCCUAGGUAUUUUAUUCUCUUUGUAGUGAGUGUGAAUGGGAGUUUAUUCAUGAUUUGGCUCUCUGCUUACCUAUUGUUGGUGUAAAGGAAAGCUUGUGAUUUUUGCACAUUGAUUUUGUAUCCUGAGACUUUGCUGUAGUUGCUUAUCAGUUCCAGAAGUUUUGGGGCUGAGAUGAUGUGGUUUUCUAAAUAUAAAAUCAUGUCAUCUGCAAACAGAGACAACUUGACUUCCUCUGCCCCUAUUUGAAUACCCUUUAUUUCUUUCUCUUGCCUGAUUGCCCUGGCCAGAACUUCCAAUAUUAUGUUGAAUAGAAGUGGUGAGAGAGGGCAUCCUUGUCUUGUACUGGUUUUCCAAGGGAAUGCUUCCAGCUUUUGCCCAUUCAAUAUGAUAUUGGCUGUGGUUUUGUCAUAAAUAGCUCUUAUUAUUUUGAGAUCUGUUCCAUCAAUACCUAGUUUAUUGAGAGUUUUUUAACAUGAAGGGAUGUUGAAGUUUGUCAGCCCUAUCAAUCUGCAUCUAUUGAGAUAAUCAUGUGGUUUUUGUCUUUGGUUCUGUUUAUGAGAUGGAUUACAUUUAUUGAUUUGCAUAUGUUGAACCAGCCUUGCAUCCCAGGGAUGAAGCCGACUUGAUCGUGGUAGAUAAGUUUUUUGAUGUGCUGCUGGAUUCGGUUGGCCAGUAUUUUAUUGAGAAUUUUCACAUUGAUGUUCAUCAGGGAUAUUGGCCUGAAGUUUUCUUUUUUUUUGUUGUGUCUCUUCCAGGUUUUGGUAUCAGGGCGAUGCUGGCUUCAUAAAAUGAGUUAGGGAGGAUUCCCUCCUUUUCAAUUGUUUGGAAUAGUUUCAGAAGGAAUGGUACUAGCUCCUCUUUGUAUUUCUGGUAGAAUUCAGCUGUGAAUCCUUCUUGCCCUGGGCUUUUUUUGGUUGGUAGGCUAUUAAUUACUGCCUCAGUUUCAGAGCUUCUUAUUGGUCUAUUCAGGGAUUCAACUUCUUCCUGGUUUGGUCUUGGUAGGGUGUAUGCAUCCAGGAAUUUAUCCAUUUCUUCUAGAUUUUCUAGUUUAUUUGCAUAGAGGUGUUUGUAGUAUUCUCUAAUGGUAAUUUGUAUUUCUGUGGGGUCAGUGGUGAUAUCCCCUUUAUCAUUUUUUAUUGUGUCUAUUUGAUUCUUCUCUCUUCUUAUUAAUCUAGCUAGUGGUCUUUCUAUUUAGUUAAUUUUUUUUCAAAAAACCAGCUCCUGGAUUCAUGGAUUUUUUGGAGGGUUUAUUGUGUCUCUGUCUCCUUCAAUUCUUCUCUGAUGUUAGUUAUUUUUUGUCUUCUGCUAGCUUUUGGAUUAGUUUGCUCUUGCCUCUGUAGCUCUUUUAAUUGUGAUGUUAGGGUGUUGAUUUGAGAUCUUUCUAGCUUUCUGAUGCAGGCAUUUAGUGCUGUAAAUUUCCCUCUUAACACUGCUUUAGCUGUGUCCCAGAGAUUCUGGUAUAUUACCUUUGUUCUCAUUGGUUUCAAAUAACUUCUUGAUUUUUGCCUUAGUUUCAUUAUUUACCCAGGAGUCAUUCAGGAGCAGGUUGUUCAACUUCCAUGAAAUUGUGUGGUACUGAGUGAGCUUCUUAAUCCUGAGUUCUAAUUUGAUUGCACUGUCGUCUGAAAGACUGUUUGUUAUGAUUUCAGUUCUUUUGCAUUUGCUGAGGAGUGCUUUACUUCCAAUUAUAUGGUUGAUUUUAGCAUAAGUGCCAUAUGGCACUGGAAAGAAUGUAUAUUCUGUUGAUUUGGAGUAGAAAGGUCUGUAGACGUCUACUAGGUCCACUUGAUCCAGAGCUGAGUUCCAAGUCCUGAAUAUCCUUGUUAAUUUUCUGUCUCAUUGAUCUGUCUAAUACUGACAGUGGGGUGUUAAGGUCUCUCACUAUCACUGUGUGGGAGUCUAAGUCUCUUUGUAGGUCUCUAAGCAUAUGUUUUAUGAAUUUGAGUGCUCCAGUAUUGGGUACAUAUAUAUUCAGAAUAGUUAGCUCUUCUUGUUGAAUUGUUCCCUUUACCAUUACAUAGUGCCCUUCUUUUUUGAUCUUUGUUGGUUUAAAGUCUGUUUUGACAGAGACUAGGAUUGCAACCCCUGUUUUGUUGUUGUUGUUGUUGUUUCGUUUUUUUGUUUGUUUUUUUUUUUGCUUUCCAUUUGCUUGGUAAAUUUUCCUCCUUCCCUUUAUUUUGAGCCUGUGUGUCUUUGCAUGUAAGAUGGGUCUCCUGAAUACAGUACACUGACAGGUGUUGACUCGUUAUCCAAUUUGCCUGUCUGUGUCUUUUAAUUGGUGGCAUUCAGCCCAUUUACAUUUAAGGUUAGUAUUGUUAUAUGUGAAUUUGAUCCUGUCAUAAUGCUAUUUGAUUAUUUUGCACACUAGUUGAUCCAGUUUCUUCAUAGUGUCAUUGGUCUUUAUAUUUUGGUGUGUUUUUGCAGUGGCUGCUACCAGUUUUUCCUUUCCAUAUUUAGUGCUUCUUUCAGGAGCUGUUGCAGAGCAGGCCUGGUGGUAACAAAAUCCCUCAGCAUUUGCUUGUCUGGAAAGGAUUUUAUUUCUCCUUCGCUUAUGAAGCUUAGUUUGGCUGGAUAUGAAAUUCUGGGUUGAAAAUUAUUUUCUUUAAGAAUGUUGAAUAUUGACCCUCAAUCUCUUCUGGCUUAUAGAGUUUCUGUGAGAUGUCGGCUGUUAGUCUGAUGGGCUUCCCUUUGUAUGUGACCUGGCCUUUCUCUCUGGCUGCCCUUAACAGGUUUUCCUUCAUUUUAACUUCAGAGAAUCUGGCAAUUAUGUGUCUUGGGGUUGAUCUUCUCAUGGAGUAUCUUAAUGGUGUUGUCUGUAUUUUCUGAAUUUACAUGUUGGCCUGUCUUCCUAGGUUGGGGAAGUUUUCCUAGAUAAUAUCCUGAAGUGUGUUUUCUAGCUUGUUUCCAUUCUCCCCAUCUCCUUCUGCUACUCCAAUCAAUCGUAGGUUUGGCCUUUUUAUGAAGUCCCAUAUUUCUUGGAGGCUUUGUUCAUUCCUUUUCAUUCUUUUUUCUCUAUUCUUGUCUGUAUAUCUUAUUUCAGUAAGGUGGUCUUCAAACUCUGAUAUCCUUUCUUCCACUUGGUCGAUUCUGCUGUUGAUACUUGUGUAUGCUUCACGAAGUUCUCAUGCUGUGUUUUUCAGCUCCAUCAGGUUGGUUAUGUUCUUCUCUAAGCUGGUUAUUCUAGUUAGCAAUUGCUCUAACUUUUUAUGAAGGUUCUUAGCUUCUUUCCAUUGGGUUAGAACAUGCUCCAUUAGUUGAUCAUAAUUUUUUUAUUACACAUCUUCUGAAGUCUACUUCUGUCAAUUCAUCCCUCUGAUCCUCCGUCCAGUUCUGUGCCCUUGAUGGAGAGACACUGUGAUCAUGUGGAGGAAAAGAGGCACUCUGGCCUUUUGGGUUUUCAGCAUUUUUUUCAUUGAUUCUUUCUUAUCUUCAUGAGUUUGUCUAGUUUUGGUCUUUGAGGCUGCUGACCCUUAGAUGGGGUUUUUGUGGGGGCCUUUUUUGUUGUUGUUGUUGUCAUUUUCUGCUUCUUUGUUUUUCUUUAAAUAGGCCCCUUUUCUGUAGGGCUGCUGCAGUUUGCUGGGGUGAAUGGCCCUACUCAUCUGAUUUGCUCUUAUACCUGGAGAUGUCACUCAAGGAAGCUGGAAAGCAGCAAAGAUGGGUGCCUGCUCCUUUUUCUGGGACCUCUGACCUUGAGGGGCACCAGCCUGAUGCCAGUAGGAUCACUCCUGUAUAGGGUAUCUGACAACCCCUGUUGGAGGGUCUCACCCAGUUGGGUGACACAGGGAGCAGGACCCAUCUAAUGAAGCAAUUUGUCCCUUAGUAGAGAGGGUAUGUUUCACUGGGGGAAACCCACUUGUCUGGGCUGCCUGGAUUACUCAGAACUACCAGGAGGAGAGGCUAAGCCUGCUGGUCCACAGAGACUGCAGCCACCCCUCCCACUAGGGUCUCAGGCCCAGGGAGAUCCAAAUUCUGUCCCUGAGCCUCUGGCUGGAGUUAUUGGAGAUCCUGCAGGAAAGCCACUGAGGAAGGAUGGGUCAGAGUUAGACCUGAAGAGGCACUCUGGCCGCAGACUGCCACAGCUGGUGUGUUGGGCUGUGGGGACAAGUCAUGGGACCAAGCUGUCCAGCCUGCCUGGCUCCAGCAGGGGAAAAGCGCAGCCUGGAACUAUAGAAAUGGGUGCUGCCCUUCCCCUACCCAGGGGGCUUAGCAUGUUAGGCAGUUGCAAGUCCCAGUGCUGGCUGCUGCCCCUCCCACAAGGAGUUCAAAUGGCUUAGACAUCAGGCAGCUGCAGCCAGUGCUGGCCACCCUUCCUCAUGGGAAUUGGGUAAGCUUAAGCAGAUUCCAGCUGAGAGGCUGUACGAAUCUGCGCGUUCCAGGGUUGUGAUGCUAGCCCCAGUGGCGUGGGUUUGCAAGUGGAAUCUUCUGAUCUGUGGGUUGCACAGUUCCAUGGAAAAACAACAGUUUCCCUGGCUGGGUAGCACUCUUACUCACCACCUCCCCUGGCUUGGGGGAAGGGGGUUCCCCUUCCCCAUGUGGCUCUCAGGUGGGCUGCCACACCACACUGCUCUUCCUUCUCUGUGUGGGUAAUGCCAGCCUUCUAGUCAAUUUUGAUGAGAGAACCUGGAUACCUUGGUUGCUGGUGAAGGAUUCACAUGCUUAUGCUUUUUUUCCCAUAGGAGCCUCCUACAUGGUGCUGCUUCUAGUCGGCCGUCUUGGCCCCACCCCUAGUUUUGCAUGGCUGGGAGGCCUCAGGAAACUUAAAAUCAUGGCGCAAGGCAAAGGGAAAGCAACGCACCUUCUUCACAAGGCAGCAGGAGGGAGCUGGAGUGAUUUUCUAAGAAUAAUUCUGGCCAAACUUUCAUGCACUCCCGCAGCCAAACUCCAUUUGGAUCUAUUCAGGCAGGAAUCAUAUUUCAGCUCCUUAACUCUCAUAAGUGGAAACUGACACCAACUCAUUAUAAAACCUAAGUGGAAAAAAAAACCCUUCUCUGCCAUUUUUAUCUCCUUGUUUAUAGAUAAUUCAACUAAUAGGUAUUUUUACUUGUCAAUAUUGACAUGGUUGUUUUCAGUUCUGGUUGUAAUGAUGAAAAUCAUACUGAUUAUCACAGGUAUUGCUUGCCUCCCACAAGUGCACACCCUGCCUCCCUGCUAGAAGAGUCCCAAUUUGUACACUGGAUCCACAAUUUUCUCCUUUUUUUUUUUUUUUUUUUUAAGAGAUGGAGUCUUGCCAUGUUGCUCAGGCUGGUCUCAAAUUCCUGGGCUAGAGCAAUCCUCCCACCCUGGCCUUCCCAUGUGCUGGGAUUAUAGGAGUGAGCCACUGUGGCUGGCAAAUAGCCACACUUUUCACAUGAUCUCACGCUUCAGAAAAGGUAGGCUCCAGCCCCAAUCUUAAGGAGGGAAUUACAACUGGUCUAGUCAUAGGAACAUGAUUAAAUUCUGUCAAGCAAAAUGAAUGUACGUGGAAGUCUGUGGGGAGAAUGGGAAGUUGGAGAGAACCUGGAUCCUUGAUCAAAUCCCUGG